rnacentral:rRNA from 1 species
UACGUAGGGGGCAAGCGUUGUCCGGAAUCAUUGGGCGUAAAGAGCGUGUAGGCGGCUCGGUAAGUCCGCUGUGAAAGUCCAGGGCUCAACCCUGGAAUGCCGGUGGAAACUGUCGGGCUAGAGUCCGGAAGAGGUGAGUGGAAUUCCUGGUGUAGCGGUGAAAUGCGCAGAUAUCAGGAGGAACACCAAUGGCGAAGGCAGCUCGCUGGGACGGUACUGACGCUGAGACGCGAAAGCGUGGGGAGCAAACAGG